rnacentral:rRNA from 12 species
UUAGUUUUACCCUACUGAUGGAGGGUUAUCGCAAUAGUAAUUCAACUUAGUACGAGAGGAACCGUUGAUUCGCGUAAUUGGUAUUUGCGGCUGUCCGAUCGGGCAAUGCCGCGAAGCUACCACGCGUUGGAUUAUGGCUGAACGCCUCUAAGCCAGAAUCCGUGCUAGAAACGAUGAUGUUUGUCCCGCGUAUCUUAGUCGAGUAAAGAUAGAGCUUCG